rnacentral:rRNA from 1 species
CAAAUAGACUACCCAGGUAGUCCACCGCCGUAAACGAUGGAGUACUAGGCUGUUUGAGCGCAAGUUUGAGUGGCUAAGCGAAAGUGAUAAGUAUCCCACCUGGGGAGUACGGGCGCAAGCCUGAAACUCAAAGGAAUUGACGGGGGGCCCGCACAAGCGGUGGAGCAUGUGGUUUAAUUCGAUGAUACGCGAGGAACCUUACCAGGGCUUAAAUGUAGAUUGACGUAUUUGGAAACAGAUAUUUCUUCGGACAAUUUACAAGGUGCUGCAUGGUUGUCGUCAGCUCGUGCCGUGAGGUGUCAGGUUAAGUCCUAUAACGAGCGCAACCCCUGUUGUUAGUUGCCAGCGAGUAAUGUCGGGAACUCUAGCAAGACUGCCAGUGUAAACUGUGAGGAAGGUGGGGAUGACGUCAAAUCAUCACGGCCCUUACGUCCUGGGCCACACACGUGCUACAAUGGCCGGUACAGAGAGCAGCCACUUAGCGAUAAGGAGCGAAUCUAUAAAGCCGGUCACAGUUCGGAUCGGAGUCUG